CAGAGGGGGCAAGCGUUGUUCGGAAUUACUGGGCUAAAGGGCGCGUAGGCGGCCCGCUAAGUCGAACGUGAAAUCCCCGAGCUCAACUCGGGAACUGCGUCCGAUACUGGCGGGCUUGAAUCCGGGAGAGGGAUGCGGAAUUCCAGGUGUAGCGGUGAAAUGCGUAGAUAUCUGGAGGAACACCGGUGGCGAAGGCGGCAUCCUGGACCGGCAUUGACGCUGAGGCGCGAAAGCUAGGGGAGCAAACGGGAUUAGAUACCCCGGUAGUCCUAGCCCUAAACGAUGAAUGCUUGGUGUGGCGGGUAUCGAUCCCUGCCGUGCCGAAGCUAACGCAUUAAGCAUUCCGCCUGGGGAGUACGGUCGCAAGGCUG
rnacentral:rRNA from 1 species